rnacentral:rRNA from 1 species
GACGAUCCCUAGCUGGUCUGAGAGGAUGACCAGCCACACUGGAACUGAGACACGGUCCAGACUCCUACGGGAGCCAGCAGUGGGGAAUAUUGCACAAUGGGCGCAAGCCUGAUGCAGCCAUGCCGCGUGUGUGAAGAAGGCCUUCGGGUUGUAAAGCACUUUCAGCGAGGAGGAAGGUGGUGAGCUUAAUACGCUCAUCAAUUGA